rnacentral:rRNA from 1 species
CGUUUAUUGAAAAUAAUUUUAAAUAAUUUCUGCUCAAUGAAUAAAUAAUUAAAUAGCUGCAGUAAUUUAACUGUACAAAGGUAGCAUAAUAAUUUGGUUUUUUAUUAAAAUCUUGAAUGAAUGAAUAAAUGAAAUAAAAACUGUCUCAAUUUAAUUAAAAUUAAAAAUUUUUUUUUUUGUAAAAAAACAAAAAUAAUAUUAAAAGACGAGAAGACCCUAUAGAAUUUUAUAUAAUAAAAAUAAUUAAAUAAUAAAAUUUAAUUAUAAAAUUUAUAUUUUAUUGGGGUAAUAUAAAAAAUUAAAAAUUUUUUUUUUAAAUUUUAUCAUAAAUAUAUGAAAAAUUAUUAAUUAUUAUUUAUAAAAUAAAAUAAAUUACCUUAGGGAUAACAGCGUAAUUUUUUUUGGAAAGUUCAUAUUGAUAAAAAAGAUUGCGACCUCGAUGUUGAAUUAAGAUUAAUAUUAAUUGGAAAAAAUUAAAAUAUUAAGUCUGUUCGACUUUUAAUAUCUU